rnacentral:rRNA from 1 species
CAGUCGACGCUUUUUCUUUCACCGGAGCUUGCUCCACCGAAAGAAAAAGAGUGGCGAACGGGUGAGUAACACGUGGGUAACCUGCCCAUCAGAAGGGGAUAACACUUGGAAACAGGUGCUAAUACCGUAUAACACUAUUUUCCGCAUGGAAGAAAGUUGAAAGGCGCUUUUGCGUCACUGAUGGAUGGACCCGCGGUGCAUUAGCUAGUUGGUGAGGUAACGGCUCACCAAGGCAACGAUGCAUAGCCGACCUGAGAGGGUGAUCGGCCACACUGGGACUGAGACACGGCCCAGACUCCUACGGGAGGCAGCAGUAGGGAAUCUUCGGCAAUGGACGAAAGUCUGACCGAGCAACGCCGCGUGAGUGAAGAAGGUUUUCGGAUCGUAAAACUCUGUUGUUAGAGAAGAACAAGGAUGAGAGUAAAAUGUUCAUCCCUUGACGGUAUCUAACCAGAAAGCCACGGCUAACUACGUGCCAGCAGCCGCGGUAAUACGUAGGUGGCAAGCGUUGUCCGGAUUUAUUGGGCGUAAAGCGAGCGCAGGCGGUUUCUUAAGUCUGAUGUGAAAGCCCCCGGCUCAACCGGGGAGGGUCAUUGGAAACUGGGAGACUUGAGUGCAGAAGAGGAGAGUGGAAUUCCAUGUGUAGCGGUGAAAUGCGUAGAUAUAUGGAGGAACACCAGUGGCGAAGGCGGCUCUCUGGUCUGUAACUGACGCUGAGGCUCGAAAGCGUGGGGAGCGAACAGGAUUAGAUACCCUGGUAGUCCACGCCGUAAACGAUGAGUGCUAAGUGUUGGAAGGGUUUCCGCCCUUCAGUGCUGCAGCAAACGCAUUAAGCACUCCGCCUGGGGAGUACGACCGCAAGGUUGAAACUCAAAGGAAUUGACGGGGGCCCGCACAAGCGGUGGAGCAUGUGGUUUAAUUCGAAGCAACGCGAAGAACCUUACCAGGUCUUGACAUCCUUUGACCACUCUAGAGAUAGAGCUUCCCCUUCGGGGGCAAAGUGACAAGUGGUGCAUGGUUGUCGUCAGCUC